AUUGAACGCUGGCGGCAGGCCUAACACAUGCAAGUCGAACGAGCGGCGGACGGGUGAGUAAUGUCUGGGGAACUGCCCGAUGGAGGGGGAUAACUACUGGAAACGGUAGCUAAUACCGCAUACCAUCGGAUGUCCCCAGAUGGGAUUAGCUAGUUGGUGGGGUAAAGGCUCACCAAGGCGACGAUCCCUAGCUGGUCUGAGAGGAUGACAAGCGACAAUGAAACGGAGACAAGGGCCAGAAUGCUACGGUAGGCAGCAGUGGGGAAGAUUGCACAAUGGGCGCAAGCCUGAUGCAGCCAUGCCGCGUGUAUGAAGAAGGCCUUCGGGUUGUAAAGUACUUGCAGCGGGGAGGCGUUACCCGCAGAAGAAGCACCGGCUAACUCCGGGCCAGCAGCAGCGGUAAUAC
rnacentral:rRNA from 1 species